AACGAACGCUGGCGGCGUGCCUAAGACAUGCAAGUCGCACGAGAAAGUCCUUCGGGACGAGUAGAGUGGCGUAUGGGAGAGUAAUACAUAGGAACGUACCUUUGGGUGGGGGAUAACCACGGGAAACUGUGGCUAAUACCGCAUAAUGACGUGAGUUUAAAGCAGGCCUCUAUUUAUAAGCUUGCGCCAAAAGAGCGGCCUAUGCCCCAUUAGCUAGUUGGUAGGGUAAUGGCCUACCAAGGCUACGAUGGGUAGCUGGUCUGAGAGGAUGAUCAGCCUCACUGGGACUGAGACACGGCCCAGACUCCUACGGGAGGCAGCAGUCGGGAAUUUUGCACAAUGGGCGCAAGCCUGAUGCAGCAACGCCGCGUGAGUGAAGAAGGCUCUUGGGUUGUAAAGCUCUUUCGGCCGGGAAGAAGGGUCUGCAUGCGAACAGUCUGCAGAUUUGACGGUACCGGAAGAAGAGGGACCUG
rnacentral:rRNA from 1 species